ACUGACGGCAGCUAACCCAUGCAGUCGACGUAACAGACUAGCCUGCUAGUGCUGACGAUGGCGAACGGUGAGUAUACUAGGGAUCUGCCUCUUGUGGGGGAUACUAUUGGAACGAUAGCUAUAUCCGCAUACGUUUUACCGACCAAGAGGCUUCGGCUCUCGGGCAGAGAGGAACCUAAGCGAGAUUAGCUUGUUGGGGAGGUAAGGCUCACCAAGGCGACGAUCUUCUAGCUGUUCUGAGAGGAAGAUCAGCCACACUGGAACUGAGACACGGUCCAGACUCCUACGGGAGGCAGCAGUGGGGAAUAUUGCACAAUGGGGGCAACCCUGAUGCAGCCAUGCCGCGUGUGUGAAGAAGGCCUUCGGGUUGUAAAGCACUUUCAGUUGUGAGGAAAGGUUAGUAGUUAAUACCUGCUAGCUGUGACGUUAACAACAGAAGAAGCACCGGCUAACUCCGUGCCAGCAGCCGCGGUAAUACGGAGGGUGCGAGCAGUUAAUCGGRAUUACUGGGCGUAAAGCGCACGCAGGCGCGCUCUGUUAAGCUAGAUGUGAAAGCCCCGCCGCUAUCAAGCGUGGGAGGGUCAUUUAGAACUGGCAGACUAGAGUCUUGGAGAGGGGAGUGGAAUUCCAGGUGUAGCGGUGAAAUGCGUAGAGAUCUGGAGGAACAUCAAUGGCGAAGGCAACUCCCUGGCCAAAGACUGACGCUCAUGUGCGAAAGUGUGGGUAGCGAACAGGAUUAGAUACCCUGGUAGUCCACACCGUAAACGCUGUCUACUAGCUGUUUGUGGAUUUAAUCCGUGAGUAGCGAAGCUAACGCGAUAAGUAGACCGCCUGGGGAGUACGGCCGCAAGGUUAAAACUCAAAUGAAUUGACGGGGGCCCGCACAAGCGGUGGAGCAUGUGGUUUAAUUCGAUGCAACKCKWAGAACCUUACCUACUCUUGACAUACUAGGAAACUUUUCAGAGAUGAAUUGGUGCCUGUCGGGAWUCUAGGAUACAGGUGCUGCAUGGCUGUCGUCAGCUCGUGUCGUGAGAUGUUGGGUUAAGUCCCGCAACGAGCGCAACCCUUGUCCUUAGUUACCAGCAUUAAGUUGGGUACUUUAAAGGAGACUGCCGGGUGACAAACCGGAGGAAGGUGGGGACGACGUCAAGUCAUCAUGGCCCUUACGAGUAGGGCUACACACGUGCUACAUGGGCGAGUACAAAGGGAUGCAAACUGGGUGACAGUAAGCGGACCUCUUUAAAGCUCGUCGUAAUUCCGGAUUGGAGUCUGCAACUCCGACCUCAUUCGAUUCGGAAACUCCCUAGGAAUCGUAGGGUCAGCCAUAUCUACCGGUGAAAUACUUUUCCGGGCCCUUGUACACACCGGCCGGUCCACCCUAGGAGUGGGGAGUGCAAAAGGAGAGGGGACUUAACUUUCGGGAUGGCGCUUACCUUUUGGGUUUUCAGAGAUGGGGGUAACGCUUAAAAGGAUCCCCUUAUUCCACUUGAGUUUCUCGC
rnacentral:rRNA from 1 species